GGGGAGCAGCUCCACCAGAUGACGGGGAUGGGCGAGGGGAGGGGAGCAGGAGGAUGGUGGUAUGGCCAUCUCACCCCUAGGUCUCUGAAGGUCCAGAUAGCACUGAUGGCCAAGUUUGGGUCUGCACACUCUGGAGGGGAGAGAAGCGAGGGCUCUAGAGGGAGAGGC